rnacentral:rRNA from 1 species
GAUGAACGCUAGCUACAGGCUUAACACAUGCAAGUCGAGGGGUAACGAGAGGAAAGCUUGCUUUCCUUGUCGACGACCGGCGCACGGGGGAGUAACGCGUAUCCAACCUGCCCCCAACUAGGGAAUAACCUUGCGAAAGUAAGACUAAUACCCUAUAAUUUCCUCAGAUGUCAUCUGACGAGGUAUAAAGAUUUAUCGGUUGUGGAUGGGGAUGCGUCUGAUUAGCUUGUUGGCGGGGUAACGGCCCACCAAGGCAACGAUCAGUAGGGGUUCUGAGAGGAAGGUCCCCCACAUUGGAACUGAGACACGGUCCAAACUCCUACGGGAGGCAGCAGUGAGGAAUAUUGGUCAAUGGGCGGAAGCCUGAACCAGCCAAGUAGCGUGCAGGAUGACGGCCCUAUGGGUUGUAAACUGCUUUUAUACAGGAAUAAAGUUAGCCACGCGUGGUUAUUUGUAGGUACUGUAUGAAUAAGGACCGGCUAAGUCCGUGCCAGCCGCCGCAGUAAAAC